GGCGGCGUGCUUACACAUGCAAGUCGAGUGCGCGCCUGUAGCAAUACAGGUGGCGCACGGCGCACGGGUGCGUAACACGUGGGUAACCUGCCCUUUGGUGGGGAAUAACUCCGCGAAAGCGGAGCUAAUUCCGCAUAAGAUCCGCAAGGAUGAAAGCCGCAAGGCGCCGAUGGAGGGGCCCGCGCCCGAUUAGCUAGUUGGUAGGGUAAUGGCCUACCAAGGCUUUGAUCGGUAGCUGGUCUGAGAGGAUGGCCAGCCACACUGGAACUGAGACACGGUCCAGACUCCUACGGGAGGCAGCAGUGGGGAAUCUUGCACAAUGGGCGAAAGCCUGAUGCAGCGACGCCGCGUGGGGGAUGAAGCAUCUCGGUGUGUAAACCCCUUUCGAUCCGGACGAAUACCUCGCAAGAGGGGUGACGGUACCGAUAUAAGAAGCCCCGGCUAACUACGUGCCA
rnacentral:rRNA from 1 species